GCAAUUGGUCAUGAGUGACUCGGUCCUGAGGCCAGGGGUAAUCCCGCGACGACAUCGUCCAGGCCGAAAGGGAAUGUAGUUAAAAUUCUACAAGCAGGCGGUGGGUAUUGAGUGGCAACACAACUGAACUCAAAGACGUCGGGGCGAGGUCCUGGGGAGAGUUCUCUUUUCUUCUUAACAAAUCGCUGCCCUGGAGGUCUUUGCGACGAGAGAGGGCUAUCGGUUUGGAAGAGCAGCACACCCUUUGUGCUGUCCGGUGCACCUCCUUCGGCCCUUGAAAAUUUGAGGGAAAUCUUAUCGCUCGCCUGGCCGUACCCAUAACCGCAUCAGGUCUCCAAGGUUAGCAGCCUCUAGUACGUAGAACAAUGUAGAUAAGGGAAUUCGGCAAAUUAGAUCUGUAACUUUGGGAAAAAGAUUGGCUCUGAGGGCCAGGUCUUGGGCCUUCUGACCUCUUCAUAGCUUCGCAGGAAGGGGCGACCUGACCAGCGUUAGCGACUGUUGAGCCAGGAGUAACCCAGGACAGCGAAUGGCUAACUCAGAACUGGAGCAGCGAGGGGAAUCCGACUGUUUAAUUAAAACAAAGCAUUGUGAAGGCCUCAAAAGGUGUUGACACAAUGUGAUUUCUGCCCAGUGCUCUGAAUGUCAACGUGAAGAAAUUCAAUCAAGCGCGGGUAAACGGCGGGAGUAACUAUGACUCUCUU